GAGUUUGAUCCUGGCUCAGGAUGAACGCUGGCGGCGUGCUUAACACAUGCAAGUCGAGCGGACUGAAGACUUCGGUCUAAUGUUAGCGGCGGACGGGUGAGUAACGCGUGGGUGACCUGCCUUAUACAGGGGGAUAACAGUGAGAAAUCACUGCUAAUACCGCAUAAGACCACACUAUCACAUGGUAGAGAGGUAAAAGGAGCAAUCCGGUAUGAGAUGGGCCCGCGUUUGAUUAGCUAGUUGGAGAGGUAAUGGCUCACCAAGGCGACGAUCAGUAGCCGACCUGAGAGGGUGAUCGGCCACAUUGGGACUGAGACAC
rnacentral:rRNA from 1 species